ensembl:lncRNA
GAAGCCGGCCCCCUCCCGGCCCGGGCCACGACCCCUCUGCGCCCCCCUCCCCCGGCACCUUCACGCCCCCCCACCGAGGACCCCAGAAUCGAGAACCAAAGCGACGACGCGUCGAGUUUUCCCAAGGAGACUAGAAUUCUAUUGAUAGCCAGACAGUGAGCGGGAAGCCCGGACUCCUGGGACCGCCCCCCCCACCCCGCCCCACCUCACCCCAGCCUUGGAUCCUGACUUGUCCGCCUGGGCCAGGUCCUUCGGCUGCAGCCCCGCGGCUGGCCUCCGCCUAGAAGGCCCAUCCCCCUGGUGGGCUGCCUGGCUGCCUGCUCGAAAGGUCUUUUGUUUGAUCUCCCCCCUUUCCCACGGGCUGCGAGGAGGGGGAGGAGACUGGAGGAAGAGGACUAAGAGGGAUGGGGGAUGGGACUUGGAGGUGAGGGGGUUGCAACCUGCUGAGCCUGCCCUCCCUCCCCGUGGGACGCCGGGGAUGGCUCCUGGGGCCUCGGGAGGAAGGCCUGCGGGGCAGAGAAGUUCCGCCUCCUCCCCCCUCCCCCCAAGCAAGUGCACCUGUGGGUUCUUAGAGGUGCCGAGGUCAUGUGGCCUCCGGGCUCUCUGGCCGGGACCGGACCAUGAGGGGACCCCCGCUGCGGUAGGGAUGAUGGGCCAGCCCGGGCCGGUUUGGAGAAUCCCUUUCAUGGAACAGGGCAGGCCCCUGUUCGCUUUUCCUUUGCUCCUGCCCUGGGCCCUAGCAAGGUGGCUGGCUGGAGGUCCAUUUGGGGGAGUUCCUGCUGCCGCAUAGCAGACUUGGAUCAUGGGAAACCCAGCCGAGAGCCCGGCCGAGGGAAAACCACUGGAGAAAACGCCCGUUUCUUUUACAGGAUGAGAACCGCCUUUCAUCUCCGGGCCGGGCCGCUCCGGCUUCUUCGCCCUAGUUUGGAUCGAGCCCAUGUGCAGGUCAUUAUCCCACAAACAAAGAAGCCCGGAACCCUGGAGAUCCCGCCGCCGCCGCCGCCGGGCGGGGGGAGGGGGGCGGCGGGGUUCCACGGAUUGCCGGAAACCCAGUCAAGGGUAUUCAAGCGCCAGCCUGGUGGUUGGGGCUGGAAGGGAAGGGCCCGCUAUUCUGGGCAGGCAGACUCGGGGUCUCCGGCCGCAGCAGCACCUGCCUGGCCAAUGGGUGCUCUUCCUGCCCUCUCCUCUCCCCAGCGGAAGGCUGCCCGGAGGAUCCUUUCGGCAAGGCUCGCCUCUAGGCAGGGGAACCGGGUGAUGCAGGGCUGAAGGAGAAGCUUGGCGGAAAGAACGGAUGGGCUUGCUUUGGAGAAGCAGCAGCAGCGGGGCUCGGAUGGUGACCAGCAGACGGGCCUGCCCACUCCCACUCGAGCUUUGUGUUUUCGCUCUGUUCAAGUGUCAGAAUCCCAGAAAAAGUCUCAGCGUUUCCUCACCCCCUCCAGCCACCCUGUUCUGACUGUUCUUUUGGGUUCCUCCUUUCUUUUUUAUGAUGCCAACAUGAUGCUGUGAACGGAAAUAAAUUAUUUAUACAAUCUAGCCUUGGGUGCUUU